rnacentral:rRNA from 1 species
UGUAGUCAUAUGCUUGUCUCAAAGAUUAAGCCAUGCAUGUCUAAGUAUAAGCAAUUAUACGGCGAAACUGCGAAUGGCUCAUUAAAUCAGUUAUCGUUUAUUUGAUAGUACCUUGCUACAUGGAUAACCGUGGUAAUUCUAGAGCUAAUACAUGCUAAAAAUCCCGACUUCGGAAGGGAUGUAUUUAUUAGAUUAAAAACCAAUGCCCUUCGGGGCUCUCUGGUGAUUCAUAAUAACUUCUCGAAUCGCACGGCCUUGCGCCGGCGAUGGUUCAUUCAAAUUUCUGCCCUAUCAACUUUCGACGGCUGGGUCUUGGCCAGCCAUGGUGACAACGGGUAACGGAGGGUUAGGGCUCGACCCCGGAGAAGGAGCCUGAGAAACGGCUACUACAUCCAAGGAAGGCAGCAGGCGCGCAAAUUACCCAAUCCCGACUCGGGGAGGUAGUGACAAUAAAUACUGAUACAGGGCUCUUUUGGGUCUUGUAAUUGGAAUGAGUACAAUUUAAAUCCCUUAACGAGGAACAAUUGGAGGGCAAGUCUGGUAAUCG